UACGAAGGGGGCUAGCGUUGUCCGGAUUUAUUGGGCGUAAAGAGCGUGUAGGCGGUCAGGUAGGUCCGUUGUGAAAACUCGAGGCUCAACCUCGAGACGCCGAUGGAAACCAUCUGCUAGAGUCCGGAAGAGGAGAGUGGAAUUCCUGGUGUAGCGGUGAAAUGCGCAGAUAUCAGGAAGAACACCCGUGGCUAAGGCGGCUCUCUAGUACGGUACUGACGCUGAGACGCGAAAGCGUGGGGAGCGAAGCAGG
rnacentral:rRNA from 1 species